rnacentral:rRNA from 1 species
GGGCCCGCACAAGCGGUGGAGUAUGUGGUUUAAUUCGAUGCAACGCGAAGAACCUUACCAGGGUUUGACAUCCUGCGAAUCUCUUGGAAACGAGAGAGUGCCUUCGGGAACGCAGUGACAGGUGGUGCAUGGCUGUCGUCAGCUCGUGUCGUGAGAUGUUGGGUUAAGUCCCGCAACGAGCGCAACCCACGUCUUUAGUUGCCAGCAUUUAGUUGGGCACUCUAGAGAGACCGCCGGUGAUAAACCGGAGGAAGGUGUGGAUGACGUCAAAUCAUCACGGCCCUUACGUCCUGGGCCACACACGUGCUACAAUGCUACGGACAAAGAGCAGCAAGUUCGCGAGGACAAGCAAAUCUCAUAAACCGUGGCUCAGUUCAGAUCGUAGGCUGCAACUCGCCUACGUGAAGGAGGAAUCGCUAGUAAUCGC